rnacentral:rRNA from 3 species
UAGGGAAUCUUCGGCAAUGGACGAAAGUCUGACCGAGCAACGCCGCGUGAGUGAAGAAGGUUUUCGGAUCGUAAAACUCUGUUGUUAGAGAAGAACAAGGACGUUAGUAACUGAACGUCCCCUGACGGUAUCUAACCAGAAAGCCACGGCUAACUACGUGCCAGCAGCCGCGGUAAUACGUAGGUGGCAAGCGUUGUCCGGAUUUAUUGGGCGUAAAGCGAGCGCAGGCGGUUUCUUAAGUCUGAUGUGAAAGCCCCCGGCUCAACCGGGGAGGGUCAUUGGAAACUGGGAGACUUGAGUGCAGAAGAGGAGAGUGGAAUUCCAUGUGUAGCGGAGAAAUGCGUAGAUAUAUGGAGGAACACCAGUGGCGAAGGCGGCUCUCUGGUCUGUAACUGACGCUGAGGCUCGAAAGCGUGGGGAGCAAACAGG